UACGUAGGGUUCAAGCGUUAAUCGGAAUUACUGGGCGUAAAGCGUGCGCAGGCGGUUAUGCAAGACAGAUGUGAAAUCCCCGGGCUUAACCUGGGAACCGCAUUUGUGACUGCAUAGCUGGAGUACGGCAGAGGGGGAUGGAAUUCCGCGUGUAGCAGUGAAAUGCGUAGAUAUGCGGAGGAACACCGAUGGCGAAGGCAGUCCCCUGGGCCUGUACUGACGCUCAUGCACGAAAGCGUGGGGAGCAAACAGG
rnacentral:rRNA from 1 species